CCCCUGUACUGAGGCAUAUAAAGUUUGCAAGACCAAGGGGCCUCUCUUAAUACAUUACUUCUUAAAGUACUAUGUUUUCGUAAAGCUCUGGGUUUUUUGUCAUUGUUGCUCUGGUUUUUUGGCCCUCAUUCGUAACUCUGUUACCAACAUAAGCUAUUACCCAUCACUUCAGAGCCUUUCACUCACAUGUUAUCCAGUCACAAUACAGCUUUACUGUGACAUCAGCAGUUACUCUGCCAGGAGUAGUUUACCACUGGCCACUGAAUCAAGCCUAUGGGCAUCUAAUAAUGAAGUUGCUUUUUUUUCUUCUCUCUGAGCCAAUAAGUCUCCAGGGUGAGCCCUGGCUCGGGGGCUGAGGAGCACUCCCAGACAACACUGCAAGGCAGAGGGUUCACCAACCCGGGAACGGCGACAGCUGCAGCCCCAAUCAUGCAGUGAUGCUUUCCAUUUCAGUUCAGUUACAAGGGGAGCCAAGUACCUCGCUCAUCUGCAGACUGGAAAAGGAAGGAAGCACCCAGAAGUGAAAAGGGCGGUUUCUUUCCUUAUCGUUUGAUGCAGGAUCUCUCUACACCAUAGCAGCCUCAAGCUUGUCCUCCUUCUGUCCCGAGAGAAAAUAAGAUGCUACAUCAAGUCCGAGCGGCCUCAAGUGUGGGCCCUUACCUGCACGUUCUCCUCUGUGACCUGAAUCUCUGCCGUGUAAACGUAAUCGACCAGCAUCCUCAGGGUCCAGCCGUCCACCUCCUUUAUUCGAACUCUCUUUGCUCGGCUCUCGCUCAUCUCACCUGAAACACCGAAGAGUAAGAUGAAGUCACAACAGGAGGCUGCUGCGGGAAGGCCCACACCAAGACAGGCUGAUCCAUCCUCCACCACUCAGUCAAUCACAUGGGCACCAGGAUCCGCUGUUUCCAGGCCUCAGCCACUUCCCUAAGAGCUGCCUUGAGCAAACUAUGAACUGUACUUCUGUUGGGCAUCUGACCCUGAGGAUAACAUGGCAGGGAUGAAGGUGCCCUGCGCCCAGCAGCAAGAACUGCAGCCGAUGCUGUCCAUGCUGAGCAGGGUCCCUUCACGAGUUCCUCUCUGGUUGGUUGCUUGUUUCAAAGACAGGGUUCUUCUGUGUAGCCCUGGCUCCCCUGGAACUCACUUGUUGACCGGGGCAGCCUCGAUCUUAGAGAUCUGCGUGUCUCUGCCUCUGUGCUGGGUUUAAAGGUGUAUCUGGC